rnacentral:siRNA from 1 species
UUUGGGUCGAUAAUAAUAUGA